ACUUUUUUCUCCGACCCGUGGAACAGUUCGCCAGUGCGCGACGGCCGUCCGCUGCGCCUACCGGACGUCAUGUGCAGGUCCGGCUGGAGAGAGGCCGGCACCAAACCCAAACCCAGAUCCAAACCCUCUUGACUAGGUCGUUCUCGAACCUGCCGCCGCCGUGGAAGGCUUGUCCAAAUCCAGCGGGGUACGGCGACCUUCGCUAGCUUCGGCCGGUGAGGGAUGGAAGAUGCUAGGCUCGAGUUCCUGCUUGAUGCCGUGGACAGGAUUUCGCUAUGUGAAGGGUUCGCAGACAGUUUAGAUGAUCCAGAUCCGGUCCCUCUGGCGGUGUUCCCACGAGUUGAUGUAGCCCCUACUGCUCAGGUGGACUCAAAUGACGGCUCAGGUUGCGGGCAAAGAUGUUGGGUGCGCAGUCGCGGGGGAGCCGCAGGCAAUCGAUCUGAUCAAUCAAUGGACAGGCUGAACCCGAGGCUCCGGCUUGGGCAAAAAGGUUAUCAGCUUGUCAUUGUGCAGCAUGUGCUGAACGAGAAGUGUGGUUCAGUGUAUUUGUUGUUGCUUCUUCUUGGAUGAGCAAAUGAUGGUAGCUGUUAGAAUUGGCAUCAUCCUGAAAGAUCUGCACUGCAUUGAAGGGACAAUUGCAUUGAGCAAAACUGCACUAUUACUAAACUACAAGACUAUGAAGAGCCGAGGGACGGAGGGAGUGGUGGCACAAGAAACAUUGAGGAAUAGUGACUACGACGAGCAAGGUUGAGGUGCAGCCAGCAAUGACGAGUCGACGACGACUGUCGCCUUCUCUAUGGUAAGAUCUCCAUUUUCUCUCCCUUUUUGUGUCAAUUUGAACAAUACACAAGUGCAAACAAGUUCCACUCAAGAGAAGUAUAAACAAGACACAACCCUCUUAACAAUGCCUUGCUGCUGGAAGUACCUGAAGCCUUCUUGGCACUUGAUUCAGCAGAUUCUCAAUUUCUUGUCACUUAUUUUCUUAUUUCUUGUAUCAGCGCCCUCCCAGGUACAACCGAAGACGACGAACUGUUUGAUGGUUUUUUUUGUCUUUCUCAGCUGUUGUUAUAUCUUAAUUAGAAAUUCACUUUUCAUUUAGUGUUAAUCUGAAUACGAGAGUGGAUUGAACUAGGAGUAAUCUGCUGCUUCUUAAUGUUCGAUAAUUGGAUCGAGAUUCACCCUCUCUAAUCAUUAUUAGCUUGGUAUAUUCUUGAACCUCAACAAGUCAUGAAGAAUCCCAUACUUCUUCCCGCCAGUUUAAUAUUGGCAAUUCACCCUUGUUGUUUACAUAUCGCUAAUCCGUUACCAAAUUACCAAAUUGUCUAAAUUUUCUUCCUCCAGUACAGUGUUUCCUUUUCAUUUCCAACUUUAUUAAAUCAUAUUAACUUUACUGAUUUGGAUGAGCUGAGGAUGAAAGAAGAGAUCAGUGCUGACACAUGGUGCUUCCCAUUCGAGCAAUUGGGGUGUGUAGAAAUGCUUUAUGACUUGCAUUCCAGCCGAUGAAGUUGUUAUGCUUGUAUUGUCACAUUAAUUAGGCCACAUUUUUGUCCUGUCAGAUAUCAGUGUAUUUUUAUUUGUAUUUGCAAUUAUUUUACUCUUUUCUCUCAAUUUCUAUUUGGUCUAUAUGGACCAUGGACAAUCAAUUUGGAUGCCUAUACCCCAGUCUAGAUUAUAUAUAUAUUUA